AGAGUUUGAUCCUGGCUCAGGAUGAACGCUGGCGGCGUGCCUAACACAUGCAAGUCGCACGGUCGCAAGACAGUGGCGCACGGGUGAGUAACACGUAGCUAACCUGCCCCGAAGGGCGGGAUAACGCCGCGAAAGCGGCGCUAAGACCGCAUAAGCUCCCGGUGAGUAGAGGACUGGGAGAAAAAGGGCAACCUGCUUCGGGAGGGGGCUGCGACCCAUCAGGUAGAUGGCGCGGUAACGGCGCACCAUGCCGACGACGGGUAGGGGACCUGAGAGGGUGACCCCCCACACUGGGACUGAGACACGGCCCAGACUCCUACGGGAGGCAGCAGUGAGGGAUCUUGCACAAUGGGCGCAAGCCUGAUGCAGCGACGCCGCGUGGGCGAAGACGGUCUUCGGAUUGUAAAGCCCUUUUCGGGUUGACGAGGCAGGACGGUAGACCCGGAAGAAGUGUCGGCUAACUACGUGCCAGCAGCCGCGGUAAUUC
rnacentral:rRNA from 1 species